rnacentral:rRNA from 1 species
UUGCUAGUAAUGCGGAUCAGCAUGCCGCGGUGAAUACGUUCCCGGGCCUUGUACACACCGCCCGUCACACCAUGGGAGCCGGUAAUACCCGAAGUCAGUAGUCCAACCUCGUGAGGACGCUGCCGAAGGUAGGAUUGGCGACUGGGGUGAAGUCGUAACAAGGUACC